CAACGACCUCCCCCGCCCCCUGCAUGACGGCACUGGCAGCUCGCGUCACGGGGCAGGGUCACCUGACCGGAAGCGCUGAGUCCGGAAGCCGGGCAGCGGCGAGGAGGAGACGGCUGGAGGCGUCUGGCUCAAGGAUGGAAUCUAUUCCUCAAAGAUGUGCUGCGGAUCCCUUGUGGCGUGAUAUAAAUAAAGGAUAAUAAUAAAAUUCAAUAGCAGAGACGUUUUUAUCAGUGGAAUAAAACAAGCCAAAGCACCUUUAAACAAUGAAACAUUUACUGAAUAUUGAAUGCAAAUGGCUUCAUGUUUCAACCAGCCAAAGAAUCCACAUUUUUCAGUCCCUGAAGUCUAAAUUACAACAAACUUUCCAACAUCUAAGCCAAUGUACCAUGUGCUCCCAAACUCACAGCAAGACAUGGAUCCGAAUUUGCCAUCUGUCUACUCAUGUGAUGUGUGAGGACAAUGAUGCAUAUGGCACAAGCAGUGUCAUGUUGCAAAUAGAGAAGCAAGAAGAAAGCCACAGACUGAGAGCUAUAUAGUAAAGCUAUAUAGUAAUGUAGGGUGGGGUGAGGCAGAGCCUUUACUGUCAUACUAACAUUUGUGCCAGAGUUUCUACUGUAUAAAGUAUAUGAAAUAUCUACUUUGUAUUAUUCUAAUAAUUUUUAUAGCCAAAACUCUGGAGUAAAAAGUCUAUGGCCGGUGAGGCAGUGCCCCCCCUGCUUAUCUUUUCAUCACAUCUCUGAUCAAAACUCACCAAAUUUCCAGGAGUUUAUACUGCUGCUUCUGUGUAUAAUGCCGACAUGUACCCUUUGGCUUAUAUAUUGCGGGUAAAUCUGGCUCUGGUACUAGCCAGUGCCUCCUGAGCCAUUUACCUCACUGCACGUCCUUGGUAGAAGGUGCAUGGUCCCCAACAUGUUAUGCUUCUUU